rnacentral:rRNA from 1 species
UACGUAGGCAGCGAGCGUUGUUCGGAGUUACUGGGCGUAAAGGGUGUGUAGGCGGUUGGUUAAGUUUGGUGUGAAAUCUCCCGGCUCAACUGGGAGGGUGCGCCGAAUACUGAAUGACUUGGAGUGCGGGAGAGGAGAGUGGAAUUCCUGGUGUAGCGGUGAAAUGCGUAGAUAUCAGGAGGAACACCUGUGGUGUAGACGGCUCUCUGGACCGUAACUGACGCUGAGACACGAAAGCGUGGGUAGCAAACAGG